rnacentral:lncRNA from 1 species
GCUCUAUUGAGCCACAGAGCAGACACAGACUGAGGGAGCUGACAGAAGGGCUGCUGAGCUGUCCACCCCUCAGCUUCCCUCUCCUGGAAGUUGAGGUGUUCCUCCAGCUAUGUCUCUAGCCAUGUGUACUCUCAGCACUCCUGAGAACUUUGUAACAGCCCCCCAAAUUCUUUUCCGACUUCAGACCUGCAGAUGGAUGAGUCAGGGAGCCAUCUGGAGGACAUGUCUGCCAGACUUUCAGCCCCAGAGCCUCCCCCAGCUUAUGAACCUCCAUAGGAGUUCUUCCAAGUACUUUAGGGACCUGGUAAAUACAAUUGGGAGCUUGUGUGACAUAGUCUGUUUUUGCACACCAGAUCACUGGAGCUGGAAUUGAAUAUAAAGGUAAAGCUCACUUUUUUUUUAAUUUUUUUUUUUUAAGAGAGAGAAUUUUUUAAUAUUUUUUAGUUUUUUGGCGGACACAACAUCUUUGUAUGUGGUGCUGAGGAUCGAACCCAGGCCGCACACGUGCCAGGUGAGCACCCUACCGCUUGAGCCACAUCCCCAGCCCUGCUCACUUUUUUAUAGCUCACUUAUUAUUAUUAUGAUGAGCUGCCAAGAUCCCUUCUCGGGAUCUUGGCAGCUCAUCACAGCAUCUACUACAUAGCAUCUACUACUUUGUUUAUUGCUAAACAAACAGGCCAACAAUAGAAGCUGGGUAGCCAAACAAAUCCCUUAACAUCUACUCAGGUUUUUGUUGUUUGGUACUGGGUGCUUUACCACUUUACCACCGAGCUUCGUCCCUUGCCCUUUUUAUUUUGAGACAGGGUCUCAUCACUAAGUUGCUGAGGUUGGCCUCAAGCUUGGAAUCCUCCUGUCUCAGCCUCCCAACUUGUUGGUAUUUCAGGUAUGUGCUACCCACCUGCUGUUGUAAGGAUUUGCCACCAAGCACAAUACACAGGCAUUUAGAAAGUGGCUCAUGUCUGACCAGUCUGAUUUGAAGGACUAUUUUAUGGGAAAAGAUGUAAACUUUUCUGUAAGUUUCUCCUCUAGAGCUAGGCCAGUGGGCUGACAGGAAGACAAACUGUAGUCGUUGAGGCUGCCUCAUGAUUGUACCCCCACUCAAGAGGGCUGUGUGGCCCCAUCAGAAAAUGGCUUUCUAGGGUAGGAGACAGUGCUGGAUGGCCUCCAGCUUGGCUUCCACAUUACCAAAUCCAUGAAGGAGACAUGAAGAGCCUGUAUGUAUGCAGUGCCAGCCUUCAGGAAGGUGGCAUGAAUGAAUUACAGUGCUGAGAAAAACUAGUUUUUGAAAAUGAGAGGAGAGUUGUCUUGAGGGAUGGAAAAAUGGCAGUGUCAGCCAGCUCCAUUGCAGAAAACAGUGGACAAAGAGGAAUCCGACAGAAGGAAGAUGCCCUGGAUCACUCCAGACUGGAUCAUAGCAGCCACCCCCUUCCCUGGUGAUGCCAGCCAGUUGGGAAGCAGUCUUUCCACAACUGCUGACCCUGGAGCUGCUCUGCCAACAUCAUACCCUUAGUCAAUCAGGAGCUGGUCAGGGUAAAAGGCCUCAGUCUACAGGAUCUUCUUUGAAAUUUUGGCCUCCCUACCUCUGCUGGCCAGACUAUACUCACCAAUACCUCUCUGACAACCUGGCUUAUCCCUGAUGGGUGGCUAUGGGGCCUUCAGUCCAGUCUAUGAGGUAUUCAGAUGCCAGUUAGAGACUUAUUUUCUUCUGUGUGGUGUUACUGUCUUGAGAUUUGUUGGACAGACCCAUCAUUAAGCUAAGUUUAGCAUCACAGCCUGGCUCUGCAUCAGGCUGGAGCGUGGAGACUGGAUGUCAGAGACUGUAAGAAGUCUUAGCAGGGUGGCCCCAGGCUGUGGAAUGCUUUCACAGCCUGAGUGAAGGGUUUCUAGAAGUCCCUGAACCUGGAGUGAUGAACUGCCCUCAAUUCCACCCUCCUCCAACUAAGCUUCCAUUGCUUUUUUUUUUUUUUUGGUUCCCCCAUUAUGAGCUGAAGGCUGUUAUUAAGAUACAGUUUCUGCUUUGCCUUGACAUCCUAGAGGGCCAGACUGUGGCUUACUCAUUCUUCACAUCUUUUGUGCCUGUUGCAGACUGGGUUUCCUGGGAGUAUAUUGAAGAUAUCUGCAUGCAGUGUAUAGGGAUGGAAGGGAGGGCCUGGAAAUAGAAUCAAGCAGAGAGAGAGAACUUGAGCAGCAAUCCAGGCCCAAGGAGAACCUGGGUCAGCCCCACAUUCUGGAACUGGGAUAGCCCUGCAGAGUUGUCCUGAGUUGGGGCAGUGGGCCAAAUCUCCCUUCAGCUAAGGCUGUCAGCCUUUGGAUGUUGGCUGCUACCAGGAGGCAUGACCUUGGGAGAGGUUUUCCUCAGCUGAGGCAAUACCUGCAAGGGACUGACGGCUGAAGACUUUCUGCUAUUAGUACUUUCAGCAGUGAGGGCAACAGUAUUUCAUUCCCGAGAAGGGGUCUUGGCAGCUCAUCAUAGCAUCUACUACAGUGCCUAGAGCAUAAUAGGUGCUUAGUAAAAAUAUUUUAUUUGACAAAUUAAUACUUGAGGAAAAUUUGAGGUAGAUGAUGACACUGAAGGAGAAAGUACAGACAAGGCACCCAUUACCAGAAUUCAGUGUUAAUGGGGGUGGGGGUCAGGACAAAGGAGGUGAGAUGAGAUGCAGCAUGUUUGGGUAAACUUUUUUAACUUUACCCAAACUAUAGAGGGUAGUUUCUCUAGCCAAAAUCUUUACAAUGAAAUGAGAUGGAAGCAUUGGAACGCUAAGUCAAAAAGUUUUUUUUUGUUUUUUUGGUACUGGGGUCUGAACCCUAGGAGCAUUUUAGCGUUGAGCUAUACCCUUUUUAGUUUAUAAUUUUGAGGCAGGGUCUUGCUAAGUUUUUUAGGGCCUUGCUAUCUUGCUGAGGGUGGCUUUGAACUUUUUGGGGGGUGGGGUAACAGGGGUUGAACUCCAGGGCACUUAACCACUGAGCCAUAUCCCC